UCUAAAGAGUCCAAAGGUUUAAUAAGCUUAUUUAUCUGGUAGGUGGGUGAGCAAGGAAAGGGUGCCAAAUGGUCAUUAAAUGAAUCAGAAUAAUUUGGCUGGUUUGUUUCAUGAAGCAUUGGAUGUGAUGCUUCUCCCAGAGAAAAGAAAUGAAAACAUGACAAAAAAUAAAAAAAGAAAGAAAAGCUCAUUUAUCCUACAGCUUUGUGUAGAACAAAGAAUGUCACCAGGCUAAUAAGCACAAUAUAAUGCAUCCUCCUACCCUUCCCUCAUUCUGCCCUGUGUUUAUAAAGGGAAACCUUGGAGGCUUUGCUGGUCAUUUUUGCUCUGUACAAAUGCUUUAGCUAUUUCUCCACAACACAAAUUUUUACCUGAGAUAUCUUGACUUCAAGAUUGGAGUUUGGAUUAAUGUCCUGUGCAGUACUGUCAGCUGUUUGGGGAGAGAUCAAGCUACAGCUGCUAUAAAAUCAAAUUGCCCAAUUGUUCAGCAAAAAGUGGACACUGGGAGAACAUAGCGACAUUACUUUUGAGACAGGGUUGACUUCACCUGAUCUCCAGGUGCAGUUCAGGACACUGACUGUGAUGUUUAAAUCCUUAGGUGCUAAGGCCUCAGAUGCAAAGUUCACUUGGCAUGACUAUUUCCACUAGCACCACUUUUUCUUGACCACAGAGAAUGCUGUGAAGCGUGUACCUCCAGAGCUGAAACUGUGGAGCCUGGUCACGCAAGCACAUUGCUGAGGUAACCCACAGUAAUACGAUAAAAAGAAUGUGAUUUAAAGCUGUUUUUCUGCAUGGAUGGUGAAUUGGUUUAGGAGGGAAUAUUAUAUGAACACAGAGAACAAGCUUUCUUGUUUUUAGCCCACAGAUCCUUAGGCCAAGGAUCUCACAGGUCAGACUCCAGCUAGGGUUUCUUGUCAGCCCUCUAGAGAAUAGGCACUAACUUCUCCUAUGUGGAUUCUCUGGUGUUUACUAAUGGCUAGGCAGCAGCCUUGUUCUCUGAGCGGACACAGAUAAGCUACAGCUGUGCUAAUACAUAUGCUGCGGCUGUUUGCUGCUUCUGAGGCCAAUAGCAAAGAAAACUGCCAGGCCCCUACCAUUAACCUCUCCAAAACAAAGUGACUGCAUCAGCAAUCCGGACUGGUCCCUCCUGGCCUGCGCUAACUCCCAAACCAACCCCUCUGAGGAACGCUGCUUUUCUAACAGUGUAACAGUAUGUAUGUACAGAGCAGUUGAUAAGGGCAAAGCAAGACCUACAUCUCUAGAACAGCCUACAACUCCCUGCACCAGGACCUCAUCCUUCCACCAGGAACUGUAGCUUCCAGGUACCAUGAGAAAUACAUCUGACAGGACUAACAACAUCUCUAAAAUCCAGAGGACCAGAAGGACAAGGAGAGAACAUUUCUGAUAGCAGGACAUGGGAAACAGCAGAAGGAGAGGGAGGAUGUGCUCUUCUAGACAUCAGACUCAUUCAUCCUCCAUGCUAAACAGUAGAAAAGGAGGGAAACUUCUGGAAAGAGAUUAUUCCAAGGAAGACUGGAUCAAAUUGCAUAUGUAAAAAGGCUUUCAGCACCAGAUGAGACAGGUUUAAAGGAUCACAACUUUGGACUUAGGCAAGAUGUAAGUACUAAAAGCCUUUCAUAGCUCUAUUCCCCAGUCAUUUGUAGUAAUUAGCUGUCUAUUCUCUAGGGAAAAUGAAGAGCAGAAGAGGAUAUAUGUAGAAGGUCAGCGGUUUCCUCUUAAUCACUCUCAGUAUGGCAUGUAGAUGUAAGAAAAGCUAAGCACCAUGCCUUGUCUUCCUUUCCCUGAAAGCUAAUCCCAUCUGCAGACUCUCCUGGUCUCUACUGCACUUCCAGAGUUUUGCUGGGACCCCGUCCCAGGGGAAGUCCCCUGCUGUUCUAAAUAUAUAUCUCUCUUACUGCCUGCCAAGUGCUUCCAGUACACUCAUUCUCUGCAAUAGACAUAUGGAAGGGACAUAUCUAACAUAGACACAUGGAGCUUCACACAUGAGUCACCUGGAGAACAUCAAUACUACAGAAGAAAUGGCUGCAGCCACAAGAAAGCACGCUCCCCUCUGAGGGGACCUUUACGCAGAACAGAAUGCCUUCGCUCUGGAGCAGCUGUAUUGUAUUCCAUCAUGUUGAACAACUUGUGCAAAAGGGAAAAAGGGAUGGUGAAGCUCAACAUUUGUUCAAAUCAAUCUUCUACUCUUUCCUGUUGGAGAUAUUCAUUUAACCUGAAAAGAAAAAAAACCCAAAAUCAUGAUGACAGUUUUCAAAUGUUUAUUUCUAAUGCUUAUAGCUAUUGGCCUUCCUUGUCCAGUAUAUCCCAAGGACUUCAUUUUAAUCCAAAGAGCUACAAACUUUCAGAAAUUAUUCAACCAAGGCAGUUCCAGAUUGAGUUAUUAUCAGUGGGUAAGGCAAGUUGUCCUUUCAAAAUUGUUUUAAUCAAGGUACCCUAGACUGAACGUUAAUGCAAAUACUUCUGUGCAAGUAUGACUACUAUUACUUUAGAAUAGUCUCAAGUAAAGGCAAUGAAAUGCCUUUCCAACUACUUUUUCAGGCCUUAAGUAAGUAAACUUUUCUACAUUGUGAAUGCAGGUAAGUGAGGAAUGAGGAGGGGAAAAAAUAGGAAUCAAUUUCCUAAAUAAAAAAUAAGAAGGAAGCUUGCAUUGUUUCAGGUUAUUUUAGAGGACUGCUCUGUAUUAAAGCACUGGGAAUCAUAUCAAGCAGAUAAAUCAUGCAGCCCAAGUUGAUUAGAAAGUGUUUUAAUGCAGUAAAAAUUCAUUACAUACUAAAGAACAUACAGUUUUUAUGGGGUUCUGGAUUGAGGUGGAAGAAAAUACCAGUCAUUGAACCUGUUAUUUAAAUGAUUUUACUAUAAUAUUAAUCUUAUUCUAAUUUAUAGUGUGAUAUUCCUUCAGAUGUGAUAAUGGCUUGCAGAUAUUUUAACACCAUCACUUUUAGAUGACUGCAUCAAACUGCCAUUAAUUACAUUAAGAUGUUAUUUUUGUUAAAGGGACUUUUUAGAAAGGCUUUGUAAGUCGCAUGAAAACUAAAAUAUGUCAAGAAUAAUCAAGAGCUCUCUUUGUAACAGCUGAAUUCACAGCUGGAAGGAAAGGCUGUAAAUGAGUCUAGUUUUACUUCCCGUACAUCUGUGAGCAGCAUCAAUGUUUCAGUAGAGCACAUUUACUUUUUCCAUCAUUGGUGAAGUCCAGGACAUUGAUGAGUGUCCUGGAAUGGCAACUGAAGUUGUGCUACAUGGCAGAUCACUAGAUCUAAAGGGGAGAUCCAUGGAAGCCUUACAUUCAAAUCUACACUCAAAUAAACAAACUUUCCAUCCUUCCCCUGGAAAACUGAAUGUGGAAGAAUACUGUUGCUCUUAGUCCUUGAUACUGCCAGAGAAGGCUCUCUUCCAUCUGAAACUGGAAUGAUAACUUAAAAAAUAAUUCAUCAGCAAAAAAUGUAUUUCCAUUAGAUAAAAAAAGGUUUUGUGGUAGUUUCAAAUUGGUUUAAGUUUAAAGUUACAUUUUUUGCUAUAAUUAAUCUGUAACAACUUGGAAAGGAAAAAAGAUUUGAAACCAAAUGUGAGACUCUUAUUUUGAUAGCUUCAGUGUUGCUUUUUCAUUAUUUUCCUAUGAAACUAGAAGUUGGCAAAAAGCGAUACUUUCCUAAGAAACUUUGGUUUCCACAAGUCACCGUGGAAGGUUCAGGUAAGCUUUUCUUGAAACCUCUUAGUCUUCCUCAUAGAUUGUGUUGCAAUGCCUGUGUCAGGACAUACAUGCAACCAGAAUUGUAACCUGUCUCCUCAAAAUCCACCACCAGUGAAGAGCAGAGAGAGAUCUGUCUCCCCUGAUCUGACAGUCGAUGCCCCUAGUCCCUGAACUUAUCACUGCAGCUUGGUGGGGAAAGGGACAUUGUGAAAACUGCUGUUUUGUAGAAAGAGAUGCUCCCUUUCCCAGGAGCACUGAACUUAAUGUCUUCUAAAUCAUUUUGAAAGCCUUAUUCUUAAUCUCAAUAAGACUUCUAUUACUAGUCCUAUUAUUCCAGCAAAGUAAGUGGGAAAGUACUUGUUUAAAAUUGCACAUUGGUUACUCCAUUACAGAAAUAAAACUGAAGGAUAUAUUCAAACUUGCUCUUUCUGUUAUUUGGCAUGCUCUCAUUUAUCACGUUCAAUGAUCUGGAGGAAGGUACAUGCUUCUGAUGAGAACCAGUUUCAUCAGAUACUCCUUUAACCUUUAUCCUUUUUGGAAAAUAAAUGUGUUCAGGCAAUGACACUACCAGGUGGCACAGGUUGAUCAGCAGUCCAUUCUGUGCUGAUAAUUUUCAAGGGUUACUGAGUCAGUGGUGGGUCUUUGUGACUGUAUUGGAUUUGCAUGGAAAGGUUUUGGUAGUGGGGGGCUACAGGGUUGGCAUCUGUGAGAAGCUGCCAGAAGCUUCCCCUAUGCCUAGUAGAUCCAAUACCAACAGGCUCCAAGAUGGAACUGCUGCUGGCCGUGGCCAAGCCCAUCAGCAAUGGUGGAAGGCCUCCUAUGAUAACCAUUUAAGAAAGGAAAAAAAAAAACCCAACCAUGAACAGCAAUUGCAACCAAAGAGAGAAGUGAAUCUAUGUGAGGGUAACAGCCCUGCAGACACCCAGGUCAGUGCAGAAGGAGGCAGGAGGUGCUCCAGGCUCUGCAGCCUCUGGCAAAGGCUGUGGUGAGUCAGGCUGUCCCCCUGCAGCCCACGGAGGUCCACAGUAGAGCAGAUAUUCACCUGCAGCCCAUGGAGGCAUACAGUGGAGAAGAUAUCCAUCUGCAUCCCGUGGAGGACCUUAUGCUAGAGCAGGUGGGUGCCCAAAGGAGGUGACUGUGACCCUUUUGGAAGCCCGCACUGGAGCAGGCUCCUGGCAGGACCUGUGGCCCCAUGGAGAGAGGAGCCCAGGCUGGAGCAGGUUUGCUGGCAGGACUUGUGACCCCGUGGGGAACCCACACUGGAGCAGCCUGCUCCUGAGGGGCUGCACCCCAUGGAAGGGACACACACUGGAGCAGUUCGUGAAGAACUGCAGCCCGUGGGAAGGACUCACAUUGCAGAAGUUCAUGGAGGACUCUCUCCCAUGGGAGGGACUCCAUGCUGGAGCAGGGGAAGAGUGGGAGAAGUCCUCCCUCUGAGGAGGAAGAAGCGGCAGAGACAGUGUGUGAUGAACUGACCCCAACCCCCAUUGCCUGUCCCCCUGCGUUGUUUGGGGGAGGUAGAGAAUUUGGGAGUAAAGCUGAGCCCAGGAUGAAGCGAGGGGUGAGGGGAAGGUGUUUUCAAGAUUUGGUUUUAUUUCUCAUUACCCUGCUUUGAUUGACUGGUAAUAAAUUAUAUUAUUUUUUUCCCCAAGUAGAGUCUAUUCUGCCCGUGAGGGUGAUUGCU